UGAACUCUUGGAAAGAAAGGGUGUGAUGGGCCUGCAUUUGGCUCUGAAACAAGCCGCUUGCCCUUCUCUUCCCAGCUCACCCCCUCCUCCUGCCUCCAACUAAAAUGCAGCUCUAGCUUUUGAGAUGAAAUGAACAACUAUUUCAUAGAGCACAUCACACCCCACAUCUAUUUCCCAGACAGAAAAUGAAGAAGACCAUUUGAGCCAGAUGAAACUUCGUUAUUGCCCGGUAAAUUUACGCAGGCAGAAGACAUUUCCCCUGAAGGAAGAACAACAACUCCAUAACAGGCAUAAGCAGAGACUCAACAACAACAACAACAACAACAAAAGAUUUUCUACAGGACUACACAAAUAUCUAGAAGAAAUGAAGCAAUAAUAAAAACCUUCCCCACAAAGUUAUGGAAAUAAAAGCAAGCAGAAUAAAUAGCUCUGAAGAAAAGGUCAGUCCAAUUACGCCAUCAUUAGAAGCCUUUCAAUUUCCAUUGCUGAGUCACCCUUCUUUUGAAAACCUACCCUGACCUUCUCAGGAUGCAGGUAGAUUUGAUUCAACAUUCCAUGUAUUGUCUACAGUGUGGUAAACAGAUAUCAUUUUGCAAUCGACAUCCUAAAGUCUUCAUGUACUAACUCUAGUUCCUGACUAUGUUAACACUCUGCAACCUUGCUACUUGAGACAACAUAUCAAAACCUAUGGGAUACAGCAAAAACAACGAUUAGAGGAAAAUUUAUAUUUCUAAAUACUUAUAUCAAUAAAAUAGAGAAAAAAUAAACUAA